GACGAACGCUGGCGGCGUGCCUAAUACAUGCAAGUCGAACGCUUCUUUCCUCCCGAGUGCUUGCACUCAAUUGGAAAGAGGAGUGGCGGACGGGUGAGUAACACGUGGGUAACCUACCCAUCAGAGGGGGAUAACACUUGGAAACAGGUGCUAAUACCGCAUAACAGUUUAUGCCGCAUGGCAUAAGAGUGAAAGGCGCUUUCGGGUGUCGUUGAUGGAUGGACCCGCGGUGCAUUAGCUAGUUGGUGAGGUAACGGCUCACCAAGGCCACGAUGCAUAGCCGACCUGAGAGGGUGAUCGGCCACACUGGGACUGAGACACGGCCCAGACUCCUACGGGAGGCAGCAGUAGGGAAUCUUCGGCAAUGGACGAAAGUCUGACCGAGCAACGCCGCGUGAGUGAAGAAGGUUUUCGGAUCGUAAAACUCUGUUGUUAGAGAAGAACAAGGACGUUAGUAACUGAACGUCCCCUGACGGUAUCUAACCAGAAAGCCACGGCUAACUACGU
rnacentral:rRNA from 1 species